GAAUAAAAAGCUUUUUAGAAGCGCCAUGCUGUAAACAUGGAGAAGUAAAAUAGUAACUUUAUUCU
rnacentral:tRNA from 1 species